rnacentral:tRNA from 1 species
GCGCGCGUGGCGAAACUGGCAGACGCGCCGGGUUUAGGUCCCGGUGGGAAACCGUGGGGGUUCGAGUCCCUCCGUGCGCACCA